rnacentral:rRNA from 1 species
CCCUUAGAUGUUCUGGGCUGCACGCGCGCUACACUGAAGCUAUCAACACGUUUUCCCUCCCUGAGGAGGGCGGGUAACCUUUUGAAUCAGCUUCGUGGUAGGGAUCGGGGCUUGCAAUUGUUCCCCGUGAACCAGGAAUUCCUAGUAGACGCGAGUCAUAAGCUCGCAUCGAUUAAGUCCCUGCCCUUUGUACACACCGCCCGUCGCUACUACCGAUUGAACGUUUUAGUGAGGCAUUUGGACCGACGCAUCUCAGUUUAACCGCUGGUUUGUGUUGGAAAGACUUCCAAACUUGAGCGUUUAGAGGAAGUGAAAGUCGUAACA